UAUACACAUUCAUGACAUGUAAAGAUGUGAAAACCUAAAAUGAAAGAGUGGGAGAAGAAAUAGGAACGGAAGAAAAAAGAGAAGGAAGGUUGAAGCGUGAACGUGGAAUGACGGGAAAUGCGGCGCGUUGCAAAUCGUGGUGGGGUAUAUAAGAUAGCAAUGGCCGCUCCCGUGCGUAUAAACAUGAAAAAUGACAGAUCGCAUUAAUUCUAUACAUGAAAUUAGUCAAAUGUUUAAUAAACAAGAUUUAAAAAGACAUAUAUAAUAAAGUUUUCACGGUGAUCCGGCCGGUGAUCGUUUUGUCAAUGUAUGCCGCCAUCUUGGAUCGCGGGAAUCAUCAAGAACGGCGCGAAAGACGCACAGCAAGAAAGCAACUUACUCGUGUUAUAGACAUGAAGCUCAUCAACAAUGCCCUCAUUUCCACCGCCGAAAACGACCAUAAGGUCCUUAAGAGCAACUGCCCUAUGUCCAUGUCUGGGUCUUGGCUGAGGUCCGGACGGAUUUGUGAUUCGCUUCCACUU